rnacentral:rRNA from 1 species
AGCAGCCGCGGUAAUUCCAGCUCCAAUAGCGUAUAUUAAAGUUGUUGCAGUUAAAAAGCUCGUAGUUGAAUUUCGGGAUCAAUAUAUCGGUCGUGCCUUUGGUACGUACUGGUAUCAUUGAUUUCUCCUUUCUGACGAAUCAUGAUGUCAUUAAUUUGGUGUUAUGAGGAGUUAGGACUGUUACUUUGAAAAAAUUAGAGUGUUUAAAGCAGGCAUUAGCUUGAAUACAUUAGCAUGGAAUAAUGAAAUAGGACGUUUGACCCUAUUUUGUUGGUUUUUAGGAUCGACGUAAUGAUUAAUAGGGAUAGUUGGGGGCAUUAGUAUUCAAUUGUCAGAGGUGAAAUUCUUGGAUUUAUUGAAGACUAACUACUGCGAAAGCAUUUGCCAAGGAUGUUUUCAUUAAUCAAGAACGAAAGUUAGGGGAUCGAAGACGAUCAGAUACCGUCGUAGUCUUAACCAUAAACUAUGCCGACUAGGGAUCGGAUGAUGUUAAUUUUUUUAAUGACUCAUUCGGCGCCUU